rnacentral:lncRNA from 1 species
ACUAAUCGAGAGGCGACACGUGGAUUUUUGGAUGAAAAUGACAAAAUUACCCUCGAGGCACAUCAGGAUUCCUACGUGCGAGCAAUGGACAAUCAUCCCUCAAUCAAGUCAAAGGUGCCCAGAAUGGGUAACAAAUUCAAAGUUAUUUUAUCCAUCCUCAUCCUAUAUUUCCCACAGGGUAAUUAUUUUAUAACCUUCAAAACAUUCCAUAUAAAUUGAGUUAAUUGGCUAAUUAAUGGAUUUAUUCCUAAUUAAUCCAUUAAUUACUAAUUAAAUCACUCAUUUCACACAAAAAUACCCCAAAGGGCCAGCCACCUUUUCUCAAAAGGGGGACCGGCCAUGCUCUAUAUAUUGAACCACAUUUUCUCUAAAAAACUAGUUCCAACACUCUUGCAAAACUCCCAAAAACUCUCUAACACUUUUCUCUCUAAAUUCUAACUUUGGCAUCGAAGGUUCUUCGGCCAAAGCCCCCCCUUCAUCGUGGGCGCGUGAGGCUUUUGGCCUUAACCAAAGGUGUUAGUUGUUUUGUAGGUGCAAUUUUGUCCAAGAUCAAGGAGGAAGAAAUUUGCAUCCACAAAUUGGUGCUUUUAUUGAGAGUUGAGUCCCACACUCGUAGAAGACUCUUGCAUCCAAGGUUUUCUAUUUUCUUGUCCAUUUGUAGAUUUUUUGUACGUUCUUAUUUUUAGAUUUUUUUUAUUUCCAAAAAUUCUUUGAUAAAACGUAAAAGAGAAGUACAAUGACUAGAAAUUUAGAAAAUUCAACAAGUGAAAAUUCAAAUAUUCAAGAGAUGGGACUGCGGAGAUCCACGAAGCUAAAUGUGAUAAUAAGUGGAGUGGCAUCACCACCAUAAAGCUCCACCAUGUCAACCACCGUUAUGGCCACCACGGCCCGAGUCGUGCCCUCCAAGGCUCACGGCACCAAGGCCACGG